rnacentral:rRNA from 1 species
UACAGAGGUCCCGAGCGUUGUUCGGAUUCACUGGGCGUAAAGGGUGCGUAGGUGGUGGGGUAAGUCUGGUGUGAAAGCUCGCAGCUCAACUGCGAAACGGCACUGGAAACUACCCUGCUGGAGGGUUGGAGGGGGGACUGGAAUACUUGGUGUAGCAGUGAAAUGCGUAGAUAUCAAGUGGAACACCAGUGGCGAAGGCGAGUCCCUGGACAACUCCUGACACUGAGGCACGAAAGCCAGGGGAGCAAACAGG